rnacentral:lncRNA from 1 species
GGGCCUUAAGGACUCGCAUCUAUCUCACCCUAGGCCUGAAGGCCAGACAUGGUGGCAGACCAGAAUGUCACAUUUCUGACAACUGAGGAUAUCCCACGAAAUCCAGGAAAAAGGAUUUACUGGAGACAGGGGUAACCUGGACAGAAGGAGUCAGAGAAAAAAAGCAAAGACGUUCUCUUUUGAAAAACCUAACACAAAUAUGGCUACUCUUACUGCACUUGAAAGGCAAUCUACCCUCAGGGAUAAAAACCUGAAGGAUUAAGAAAGAAUGAGACUCAGCUAGGUAGAGUUGUAACUGGAAUGAGAAGUGAUUAUUUUUAUUUUGCACCUUUCUGCCUGACUCUUGAAUAUCUAUGAAAAGAAAAUCUUCAUUUCAAAACUUCCUGAGGCAGGAGCCACACCUUCUGUCACAGAUAAACUCACCCAGAGUUAAAAUCACAUCUGCUGGUCCCAGCCUUGUAGUCUGAUUCACCUGGAGACCCACCUUGUGAGAGACCCACCUGGAAGGACUCUGGAGGCUUUGAAGACAUCACGGCUUGCAUUUGCAUCCUCUUCACCACCCUCAGAGCUCACUGAAGCAAAUGAGGCUCUGCAGAAAGCUGGCCCUUCUAGGUGGUGGAAGGGGCUUCCAAAUGGACCAAGGAAUCUCACACACAAGCAAACCUGUUGUAUUUUAGCAGUUCAAACUUUUAUAAAAUGUCAAACUCAUCAGUCUCCAAGUCUGGUUCAGCAGAGAAGAAAAGCACAUGCUUAGUUUCAAGGACUUAAGAAAGCAAUUUGCUCAAAGGAGAUCCCCAUGGGGCAUUAGAGCCUUUGUACAGCACUCCAGCUAGAAAUAUCUGGCCCUACUGAAGUCAGCAGCAAAGCUGCCAUUUAUUUGACUGUGACCAGAACUUCACCUCAGUCAUCUUGUUGUUUUUUUUGUUUUUUUUUUUUUGUGGAUAGCCAAUGGGUAAACAUUAAAGUUUGAAGUCACAGUAUUUAUUAUCCUGUAAACAACAUUUUGAUAAGCCAUCCCCUUGCCCUUCCCUGUUCUCAGUUGAAAGACUAACUUUCUUUUACUAUGCAGUAAAAAUAAACCUCCUGUAUCAGGUUCA